rnacentral:snRNA from 1 species
AUCGCUUCUCGGCCUUUUGGCUAAGAUCAAGUGUUGUAUCUGUUCUUAUCAGUUUAAAGUAGAUUUUUAAGAAAGAGUUAAACAUCAAAGUUAGACAGUUU